CAGUAGCCGCGGUAAUACGUAGGUGGUAAGCGUUGUCCGGAAUUAUUGGGCGUAAAGGGCUCGCAGGCGGUUUCUUAAGUCUGAUGUGAAAGCCCCCGGCUCAACCGGGGAGGGUCAUUGGAAACUGGGAAACUUGAGUGCAGAAGAGGAGAGUGGAAUUCCACGUGUAGCGGUGAAAUGCGUAGAGAUGUGGAGGAACACCAGUGGCGAAGGCGACUCUCUGGUCUGUAACUGACGCUGAGGAGCGAAAGCGUGGGGAGCGAACAGGAUUAGAUACCCGUGUAGUCCCUGUCUCUUAUAA
rnacentral:rRNA from 1 species